GAUGAACGCUGGCGGCGUGCCUAAUACAUGCAAGUCGAGCGAACAGAUGAGGAGCUUGCUCCUCUGACGUUAGCGGCGGACGGGUGAGUAACACGUGGAUAACCUACCUAUAAGACUGGGAUAACUUCGGGAAACCGGAGCUAAUACCGGAUAAUAUAUUGAACCGCAUGGUUCAAUAGUGAAAGACGGUUUUGCUGUCACUUAUAGAUGGAUCCGCGCCGCAUUAGCUAGUUGGUAAGGUAACGGCUUACCAAGGCAACGAUGCGUAGCCGACCUGAGAGGGUGAUCGGCCACACUGGAACUGAGACACGGUCCAGACUCCUAAGGGAGGCAGCAGUAGGGAAUCUUCCGCAAUGGGCGAAAGCUUGACGGAGCAACGCCGCGUGAGUGAUGAAGGUCUUCGGAUCGUAAAACUCUGUUAUUAGGGAAGAACAAAUGUGUAAGUAACUAUGCACGUCUUGACGGUACCUAAUCAGAAAGCCACGGCUAACUACGUG
rnacentral:rRNA from 1 species